ACUCCACCGCGAGGAUAAGCUAAGUAAUAACCUUGCGAUUGAGCGUUAUCGCGAGAGACCCGGCUAUCCGUCCAGCAGCCGGCGGUAUACGAGGUUCAAGCGUAUCGAAUACUGCGUAAGCGCAGCCAGGCGGUUUGUCAAGUCGAUUGGAAUCCCGGGCUCAACCUGGGAACUGCAUCGAACUGCAGCUAGAAGUUCUUGUAGAAGGGGGGUAGAAUCCAGGUGUAGCGGGUGAAAUGCGUAGAAGAUCUGGAGGAAUACGGUGGCGAAGGCGGCCCCCUGACAAAAGACUGACGCUCAGUGCGAAAGCGUGGGGGAGCAAACAGGAUUAGAUACCUGGUAGUCACGCCGUAAACGAUGUCGACUUGGAGGUUGUGCCCUUGAGGCGUGGCUUCCGGAGCUAACGCGUUAAGUCGACCGCCUGGGGAGUACGGCCGCAAGGUUAAAACUCAAAUGAAUUGACGGGGGCCCGCACAAGCGGUGGAGCAUGUGGUUUAAUUCGAUGCAACGCGAAGAACCUUACCUACUCUUGACAUCCAGAGAACUUAGCAGAGAUGCUUUGGUGCCUUCGGGAACUCUGAGACAGGUGCUGCAUGGCUGUCGUCAGCUCGUGUUGUGAAAUGUUGGGUUAAGUCCCGCAACGAGCGCAACCCUUAUCCUUUGUUGCCAGCGGUCCGGCCGGGAACUCAAAGGAGACUGCCAGUGAUAAACUGGAGGAAGGUGGGGAUGACGUCAAGUCAUCAUGGCCCUUACGAGUAGGGCUACACACGUGCUACAAUGGCAUAUACAAAGAGAAGCGACCUCGCGAGAGCAAGCGGACCUCAUAAAGUAUGUCGUAGUCCGGAUUGGAGUCUGCAACUCGACUCCAUGAAGUCGGAAUCGCUAGUAAUCGUAGAUCAGAAUGCUACGGUGAAUACGUUCCCGGGCCUUGUACACACCGCCCGUCACACCAUGGGAGUGGGUGCAAAAGAAGUAGGUAGCUAACCUCGGGAGGGCGCUACCACAUUGGAUGCAGACCAA
rnacentral:rRNA from 1 species